rnacentral:rRNA from 1 species
GCCUACGGGGCGCAGCAGUGAGGAAUAUUGGUCAAUGGGCGCAAGCCUGAACGAGCGAUGCCGCGUGAGUGAAGAAGGCCUUCGGGUCGUAAAGCUCUGUUGCGGGGGAAAAAAGGCAGCAUCAGGAAAUGGGUGCUGACUGAUGGUGCCCCGCCAGAAAGUCACGGCUAACUACGUGCCAGCAGCCGCGGUAAUACGUAGGUGGCGAGCGUUAUCCGGAAUGAUUGGGCGUAAAGGGUGCGCAGGCGGUCCUGCAAGUAUGGAGGGAAACGCAGGGGGUCAACUCAUGCAUGGCUUUGGAAACG